rnacentral:tRNA from 2 species
GCGUCUGUAGCUCAGUGGAUAGAGCACCGCCCUCCGGAGGCGGGUGUCGGAGGUUCGAAUCCUCUCAGACGCA